rnacentral:rRNA from 1 species
UACGUAGGAGACGAGCGUUGUCCGGAGUUACUGGGCGUAAAGGGUGCGCAGGUGGCGGCGCGCGUGGGGGGUGAAAUCGCCCGGCUUAACUGGGCGGGGGCCUUCCAGACGGCGUGGCUUGAGCAGCGGAGGGGGACGUGGAAUUCCGGGUGGAGCGGUGAAAUGCGUAGAGAUCGGCAGGAACACCCAGGGGGAAACCAGUCGACUGGGCAUCAGCUGACGCUGAGGUGCGAGAGCGUGGGGAGCGAACCGG